rnacentral:rRNA from 1 species
UAACCUGCCCUUAACUCUGGGAUAAGCCUGGGAAACUGGGUCUAAUACCGGAUAGGAGCGUCCACCGCAUGGUGGGUGUUGGAAAGAUUUAUCGGUUUUGGAUGGACUCGCGGCCUAUCAGCUUGUUGGUGAGGUAAUGGCUCACCAAGGCGACGACGGGUAGCCGGCCUGAGAGGGUGACCGGCCACACUGGGACUGAGACACGGCCCAGACUCCUACGGGAGGCAGCAGUGGGGAAUAUUGCACAAUGGGCGAAAGCCUGAUGCAGCGACGCCGCGUGAGGGAUGACGGCCUUCGGGUUGUAAACCUCUUUCAGUAGGGAAGAAGCGAAAGUGACGGUACCUGCAGAAGAAGCACCGGCUAACUACGUGCCAGCAGCCGCGGUAAUACGUAGGGUGCGAGCGUUAUCCGGAAUUAUUGGGCGUAAAGAGCUCGUAGGCGGUUUGUCGCGUCUGUCGUGAAAGUCCGGGGCUUAACCCCGGAUCUGCGGUGGGUACGGGCAGACUAGAGUGCAGUAGGGGAGACUGGAAUUCCUGGUGUAGCGGUGGAAUGCGCAGAUAUCAGGAGGAACACCGAUGGCGAAGGCAGGUCUCUGGGCUGUAACUGACGCUGAGGAGCGAAAGCAUGGGGAGCGAACAGGAUUAGAUACCCUGGUAGUCCAUGCCGUAAACGUUGGGCACUAGGUGUGGGGACCAUUCCACGGUUUCCGCGCCGCAGCUAACGCAUUAAGUGCCCCGCCUGGGGAGUACGGCCGCAAGGCUAAAACUCAAAGGAAUUGACGGGGGCCCGCACAAGCGGCGGAGCAUGCGGAUUAAUUCGAUGCAACGCGAAGAACCUUACCAAGGCUUGACAUGUUCUCGAUCGCCGUAGAGAUACGGUUUCCCCUUUGGGGCGGGUUCACAGGUGGUGCAUGGUUGUCGUCAGCUCGUGUCGUGAGAUGUUGGGUUAAGUCCCGCAACGAGCGCAACCCUCGUUCCAUGUUGCCAGCACGUAAUGGUGGGGACUCAUGGGAGACUGCCGGGGUCAACUCGGAGGAAGGUGAGGACGACGUCAAAUCAUCAUGCCCCUUAUGUCUUGGGCUUCACGCAUGCUACAAUGGCCGGUACAAUGGGUUGCGAUACUGUGAGGUGGAGCUAAUCCCAAAAAGCCGGUCUCAGUUCGGAUUGGGGUCUGCAACUCGAC